rnacentral:misc_RNA from 1 species
GAUGAAGAACGCAGCGAAAUGCGAUAAGUAAUGUGAAUUGCAGAAUUCAGUGAAUCAUCGAAUCUUUGAACGCACCUUGCGCUCCUUGGUAUUCCGAGGAGCAUGCCUGUUUGAGUGUCAUUAAUAUAUCAACCUUCUCUUUUUUGAGUUGUUUGGAUGUAGGGGUUUGCUGGCCUCUUAAAUGAUUCAGCUCCCCUGAAAUGCAUUAGCAGAACAACCUGUUCAUUAGCGUGAUAAUUAUCUAUGCUAUUGAAUGUGAGGGCAGUUCAGCUUUCUAACCGUCCUUGGACAAUUCAUCAUUAAUGUGACCUCAAAUCAGGUAGGACUACCCGCUGAACUUAAGCAUAUCAAUAAGCGGAGGA